UAUAGUUGCUCCUAGACCUGGUCUAUGCUGGGGGCCUGAUUCUUUGCUGUUCUCCAGCUUGUGCAGUCACUGACACCCGUGCAAAGCGUUACCAGAUCAGGCUGGUAGUGUUUUCAAUCCACGUUGCACAGGGGUGAAUGGCUGCACCAGGUAUAGGGUGAGGGAGAAUCUGCCUCAGAGAAGUUUAGGGAAUUCCUCCCCCACCACUGUAGGGCAGGUGCCGCUCCACUGCCCAAGCCCUGUCUAUGCUCCCAACUGUGGCUUGCAUUAGUAGAAGAUUUCUGUAAAAUUCUCAGUAGAGCUGCAGCCCUGGGGAGAGGAACAGCUUUUGUUCCAGCUGUUCUCCCCUGGGAGUGAAAACGUGGUUCCCCAGAGAUGUCUCUACAGUUGCCUGCACCCCUUGAGAUCUCAAGGAGCCAUGAAAAGUCCUGAUACUACUCCCAGCAUUAUGAGGUGGGGCUGUUUUUGUCAGCCUCAGCUGCAUUUUGCUCAGGCCCUGGCUGUCUGCAGUAAUCCUGUCGUCAAGGAGCUGAGCUUAACUCCUGGGGAAGAGAAGGAUCCAGUUUGGCUGGAAGAAACCGAUAAGGAGAAGUACAAAAAGUGUCCCCCGGAUGCUGUUCAGGAAGCCCUGCAGGUAGCGUUAGAUGCUGGAUAUCGGCACUUCGACUGUGCUUAUUUUUACCAGAACGAGGCCGCGAUCGGAGCAGCCUUUGAAAAGACGCUGGGGGAAGGGAGGCUGAAGAGAGACGACCUUUAUGUGGUGAGCAAGCUAUGGAACAGUUUCCACGCCCCGCAGGAUGUGAAGCCGGCUUUCCUGAAAAGCCUGACGAUGCUGAAGCUGGAUUACCUGGAUCUGUAUCUCAUGCACUCCCCAAUGGGCUUUCUGAAUAUCAACGAGGAGCUAAUGCCUCAAAAGGACGGGUUGCUUCUGCAGUCGGAUGUGGACUACGUGGACACCUGGAAGGCGAUGGAGAAGCUGGUGGAUGAAGGCCUGGUGAAAUCGGUGGGGGUUUCCAACUUCAACAUCUCCCAGCUGGAGAGGCUGCUGUCCGUGUGCAGGAUUAAGCCUGCCGCCAACCAGGUGGAGCUGCAUCCCUACCUGACCCAGCCCGAGCUGGUGGAGUACUGCAGGUCCAAGGGGAUCGUCCUCAUCGCAUACAGUCCCUUCAGCUGCCCUGCUCUGCCCCGCCCUACGGGGAAGAACAGUCCGGUGCCCCUCCUGGAGAAUCCAACGGUGAAUGAGAUCGCGCAGAAGCACGGAAAAACCAGCGCUCAGGUUCUCAUCCGCUUCCACCUUCAGAGGGGCAUCGCCACCAUCCCGAAAAGCAUCACCCCAUCCCACAUCGUGGAGAACGCAGAGGUAUAUGACUUUCAGCUGACACACAAAGAAAUCCAGACGCUGGAAGGACUAAACUGCAACAUGCGAUUUAUUAAAUGGAAACUGAUGGGGAUGGACACACACAAACACUUCCCAUUCGGUGACAAGUAACUAUCGCGGCCUAGAGAAAUGGCAAGUCAAUCAUGGAAGAUCCGGUUCCCAGUAAAUCAACUGCAUAUAUUGGCAAGCUUUUGAAAUGAUCCAUAUCAGCCUCUCAAAAUCCUUAUGGAAACUUACUAGGCAAGAGCCUGCUUCUUUAGAAGCCAGAAACAGCUUUGUUGGACUUAAUUGGAUCCAGAACAAGGUCUAAAGCCAGAGGAGUUGCUUUGAAAGGGUCUGAUUUGUGACAAAUGCAGGAAUUAGACUUGUUUACAUGGCAAGGAGGACAGAGUUUGGGCAAAUGCAAAGAGGCAAUUCCCCCUUCUCAAGCACCCAGCAUUAACCUUUUAGCCUACAGCCAGAUUUAAAAAGGAGUCUUAUUAAUGAAUUAGGGUAACCCAUCAGCUAGAAAAAUGUCAUUCUGGUCACACAUUAGGCGCGUAGCUAGUGGUCAUCACUAGGGUGGAUGGAGAUGCUGGAAGUGGUGCAGUUUACCUCAUCACAUAAUGUUUAAAGGUUAUCGGGCAUCCAACCUGAAAAAGUCAUAAAAUCACACAAAGGGCCAUAACUGGAAGCAACACAGGCUAAUUUUGACCAAAAUUGGCAGAAAGCUUCUAAAUAUAAUUGAUAAUGCAACUAGGUACCUAAAAUAGUAGCGGUUUAGAACCUGUUUAGCCCCAGGUCACGGGAUUUUCUGCAUUUCCCUGUCUUUUUUUUGCCUUCCGUUAAAACAAGUCUGUAAUCCCAUGACAGUAGGAGCCUCUUUGCUCCACGUAUUACAUCGACAUAUUUGCCAUUAUGAUCUGAGAAGUUUUCUAUCUGCUAUUUUAUAAAUAUUGGCUACUGCACCAGCAACUCAUGUUAAUACAGCGUUCACCGUGAUGAAAUAUUUUCAGGCUAUGGUCCACUUUCUGGGCCAACACUGGACCUGUGUCAUCUAUGAUGAAGCAAUCUCCUGCAAAGCACGGUUGAUGAAAUGGAGGAAUCCAAAUGAAUUGGACAAUGACCACCUCCAGAUGGGAGGCAAGCAUUGUGCAGUGAAGUUCAUGUGUGAUCGAGGCUGUGUGAGGCAAGACGGUGGGUUUGAAGACUCCUUGUGGAAGGCAGCCUCUGUGGUGCUCCAGUCAUCAGCCAUGCUCUAAGAGGGAACCAUGUAACCGUGGCGUUAAAGUCCACAAAUGUAUGAAUGUGUUGACGAAUCGACUGAAAUGGAUGGCACGGGGUGAUUCUGUGAACAAUAAUGCUGUCCCAGAAGAUGAAAAAGAGCCAGCUUGGAGAAAAUGCAAACGUGCCCAGAAGCAUUUGAAGAUGUGGAGAAAGCACAGGAAGAAAACAGAGUGCUUUGGGGGGCUUCAUGAACCAAGCCCGAUCACUCCACUGGCUCAUGGACACUUACCUUACAGUACCAGUCUGGGGUUCCUACCCUGCUGAAACUGUUAUACUAAUGCAGUCUUAUUAGGGCUGACAAAAACCUUUCUCUCCCUGUAUAAUGCAGGCGAUAGGCUGCUCACCUAGGUACCAGGCCUGGUGGGUUCAAACCUGCCCUCUACUUCUCAUGAAGGACUGUGAACGGGGGCUCCAGGAGUAUUGCGUGGUGCCUGAUGUAUAGGGAUGGGGAGCUCCCUUGUUUUUGCCUGUGGAAGCUGUUCCACAUUAACUUUUGUUUGGGUGACCGCAAAACCAGUACUCCCACUAUAGGCCACGUGCUUGGGUUCUGGGAGCUGCAGCUUCAAAUCUGCCCUCUACCUGUGCUCAGUAGGGCUUGGGGCAGGUGUUGAAUGCAGCUCUGGUGGGGUGUGCCCUGAACUUUGGGCUCUUGCCUGUGGAAGCUGUUCCACUUUAAUUAAAUGGGAGUUGGGCCAGCAGCUCCCUCUGCAGUCCAGUGGUUAAGCUAUGUGCCUAGGGGGUGGGAGAGGUGGGUUCAAACCUGUCCCGUUGUUUGUAUGCCCUCACCUUUCUGUUAGCUUCAACAGGUAAGAGGGAGGUUACCCCCCUCAGUCUGUUUCACAUUAAUUAAAUGUGAUUUGGGCCAACACAAUACCCACCCUCUCCCUCUAGUCCAGUGGUUAGGAUACUUACCUGGGUUGGAGGAGAUCCUGGUUCAAAUCCCCCAGCUGCCUGUUCAGCAGGGAUUUCCUGCUUCCUGGGUGACCGUCCUUUGAGGUGGGCCAUCCUUCUCUGAACCCCCCCUCCCCGCUCUUUCUCAAGAGCCCAUUGUCUUCUUGGGACAAGGAGGGGAUUGGGACAGGAAUCGCCCACCUGUGACUCUCCCUGGGAGGUGGGCAGGGAGUGCCCUGGGAUUUGCCACAACCUGUGUGUGUAUCCUGAUCACGGUGGACAAAGUGAGUGCAGGGGGUUUUGCAUCCAGCUGCAAUUAAUCUUUAAUUAAAAGAAACAAGAGGCCCUGUAAAAUGGCCCUUGUCCAGGGCUAUUACCUCAUCAGCUAGAGACCCUCUGAGCAGGUAGAGUGGGGAUUUGAACCAGGAUCUCCUACAUGUUAACUAAGCACCCUAAUCCCCCACCCCAUAGGGGGCUUCAGCAGGGUAUGUUGGCCCACUUAAUAUGCAGUGAAAGUGGAACAAAUUCAACAGAAAGGAUUAAGGCAGUUCUCCCAUCAGAUUGGCUCUUAGCCCAGCACUGAGGCCAUUCCUUAGAGUGCUGAGGUUUCAAAUCUAGCAGAAGAGGGAAGCGAACCUAAACCUCCUACAGCCAUUGAAUACUUCCUGUUUGAAUUUGAUUUUGAUCCUACCGCUCUUGGUUGGCACGCUUGAGUGUUUUGCACACAACCGAGCUGCCGUUGAAUAGGAAACACGUUAGCAGGGCUUGGAGGAGGGGGCCCGUGCCAAAGCUCACUGAGGGCUGUGGAAAGACCCAGCCAUCAACAGCCUUUGGAUUAGGGCCUAAAACUGGCAGGAGAAGAAAAAGCAGCAGGAGGGCAGUGCAUUGCUUUGUGCGGCUGCUGCUCUCUGAAGCAAGUCUUCCGAACCCUUCUGUAGCUCACCAGCCCAUCACUGGCAUGAUGGGCUAACAGUAUUGUAAGUCCGGAGAAAGAACGGCCAAAGGGAACCUAGUACAGGGCCUUUU